rnacentral:rRNA from 1 species
UACGUAGGGUGCGAGCGUUAAUCGGAAUUACUGGGCGUAAAGCGUGCGCAGGCGGUUUUGUAAGCCAGAUGUGAAAGCCCCGGGCUUAACCUGGGAAUGGCAUUUGGGACUGCAAGGCUUGAGUGCGGCAGAGGAGACUGGAAUUCCCGGUGUAGCGGUGAAAUGCGCAGAUAUCGGGAAGAACACCCGUGGCGAAGGCGGUUCUCUGGGACGGUACUGACGCUGAGACGCGAAAGCGUGGGGAGCGAACAGG